UACGUAGGCAGCGAGCGUUGUUCGGAGUUACUGGGCGUAAAGAGUGCGUAGGCGGUUUUCUAAGUUUGGUGUGAAAUCUCCCGGCUUAACUGGGAGGGUGCGCCGAAAACUGGAAGGCUUGAGUAUGGGAGAGGUAAGCGGAAUUCCUGGUGUAGCGGUGAAAUGCGUAGAUAUCGGAAGGAACACCAGUGGCGAAAGCGGCUUCCUGGUCCGACACCGACGUUCAGGCACGAAAGCGUGGGGAGCAAACAGG
rnacentral:rRNA from 1 species